rnacentral:lncRNA from 1 species
UGACCUUAUACUAUCAUCCCCCGCCGCGGCCACUAUCCCUCCAACCGACUAUGGGGAAUAGUGACGUACACACGUACUACAGCGGAAUACGCAAAAAGAUGCAACCUAGAUAGCAACAGAGUAAACCUCAUACGGAAUGCUAGAUAAAAUGAGUAAAAAGGUGUACAAAGUAAACAAGAGAGCGGGAGGUACCAACUCCCGGUGGAAAAACCUGAAAGUAGGCUUUGAUGCGCCCAAGGUCCUCUGCUACCGACUCUUGCACGUCCCGGCCGGUGUUGUUUAGCUCUUCACUCCCAAACACCGUGAACUAGCCUCGCCGCCAAUAAUCCUCGCUGGAAAAAUAGGGCACAUGUCCAAGAAAACAGAACACACCCACAAAAAGCAGAAGAGAGAAUAGGAGGAAAAGAGCAGGAGUCGCUGGAAAAAUCGUCGGCGAAAAGCAAGAAUUCAAAAGAUCUAGAAAACUCGAAACGAAACAAGCUUUAGAUAGCCAAAUAAAGGCUAAAUCGGAGACUUGUGCAGUAUAGUAGCAGGUUAAAGUUUGCGUUGAAGCUAUUUUCUUGUAAAAACAGGAAAAGCUUAUUAAUGGAAGAGCUAAAGCAGAUAGGGGGAGGACUAUAAAAACCAAAGCAGUCAGAAAAAGUAAAUCUGCGUUGAUCAGAAAAACUAGAACUGUAAAAGCAAAGAAAAGAAGAAUUAAAAGAAAAUUAACUUACGGAUGAGAAUAAAGAGCAGAAAAUUG